UACGUAGGGGGCGAGCGUUGUCCGGAGUUACUGGGCGUAAAGGGCGCGCAGGCGGUCUGGCAAGUUUGGAGUGACAGUGCUCGGCUUAACUGAGCAAGGCCUUCGAAAACUGCUAGACUUGAGCACUCAAGAGGGACAUAGAAUUCCGAGUGUAGAGGUGAAAUUCGUAGAUAUUCGGAAGAACACCAGUGGCGAAGGCGACUGACUGGACAAGUAUUGACGCUGAGGUGCGAAAGCGUGGGGAGCAAACAGG
rnacentral:rRNA from 1 species